UAAUAUAUCGGAACGUACCCAAGAGUGGGGGAUAACGUAGCGAAAGUUACGCUAAUACCGCAUACGAUCUACGGAUGAAAGCAGGGGAUCUUCGGACCUUGUGCUCCUGGAGCGGCCGAUAUCUGAUUAGCUAGUUGGUGAGGUAAAGGCUCACCAAGGCGACGAUCAGUAGCUGGUCUGAGAGGACGACCAGCCACACUGGAACUGAGACACGGUCCAGACUCCUACGGGAGGCAGCAGUGGGGAAUUUUGGACAAUGGGCGCAAGCCUGAUCCAGCAAUGCCGCGUGAGUGAAGAAGGCCUUCGGGUUGUAAAGCUCUUUUGUCAGGGAAGAAACGGCUGUGGCUAAUAUCCACGGCUAAUGACGGUACCUGAAGAAUAAGCACCGGCUAACUACGUGCCAGCAGCCGCGGUAAUACGUAGGGUGCAAGCGUUAAUCGGAAUUACUGGGCGUAAAGCGUGCGCAGGCGGUUUUGUAAGUCUGACGUGAAAGCCCCGGGCUCAACCUGGGAAUUGCGUUGGAGACUGCAAGGCUUGAAUCUGGCAGAGGGGGGUAGAAUUCCACGUGUAGCAGUGAAAUGCGUAGAGAUGUGGAGGAACACCGAUGGCGAAGGCAGCCCCCUGGGUCAAGAUUGACGCUCAUGCACGAAAGCGUGGGGAGCAAACAGGAUUAGAUACCCUGGUAGUCCACGCCCUAAACGAUGUCUACUAGUUGUCGGGUCUUAAUUGACUUGGUAACGCAGCUAACGCGUGAAGUAGACCGCCUGG
rnacentral:rRNA from 1 species